AAUCUUCCACAAUGGACGAAAGUCUGAUGGAGCAACGCCGCGUGCAGGAUGACGGCCUUCGGGUUGUAAACUGCUUUUAUAUGGGAAGAUUAUGACGGUACCAUAUGAAUAAGGACCGGCUAACUACGUGCCAGCAGCCGCGGUAAUACGUAGGGUCCAAGCGUUAUCCGGAAUCACUGGGCGUAAAGCGUGUGUAGGCGGUGUGUUAAGUGCAAUGCGAAAUCCUGUGGCUCAACCAUAUGGACUGUGUUGCAUACUGGCAUACUUGAGGAUGGCAGAGGCAAGUGGAAUUGGUAGUGUAGCAGUGAAAUGCGUAGAUAUUACCAGGAACACCAAUGGCGAAGGCAGCUUGCUGGGCCAUAUCUGACGCUGAGACACGAAAGCGUGGGGAGCGAAC
rnacentral:rRNA from 1 species